UACGUAGGGGGCAAGCGUUGUCCGGAAUCAUUGGGCGUAAAGCGCGUGUAGGCGGCCCGGUAAGUCCGCUGUGAAAGUCGGGGGCUCAACCCUCGGAUGCCGGUGGAUACUGUCGGGCUAGAGUGCGGGAGAGGCGAGUGGAAUUCCUGGUGUAGCGGUGAAAUGCGUAGAUAUCAGGAGGAACACCUGUGGCGAAAGCGGCGCACUGGACCACAACUGACGCUGAGGCGCGAAAGCUAGGGGAGCAAACAGG
rnacentral:rRNA from 1 species